rnacentral:lncRNA from 1 species
CCGGCAUCGCCUCACGCCCCUAGACCUCUGACACUGCAUGGGCAUCUGUGCCCAGCACACAAGUUACAGUGACACACAAGUUAGAGUGAAAUUUUAUUGUGACCUUGAUACAGUUUUUGUGUUCUAGUGAGGCUGAGAAGUAAUGCACCCUAAACAAAAUAAAUAUGCUUAGGGUACCUUAUUUUACCCUACCAAAAUCCAUAUAGCUAUUUUACUGGGGAGAGAUUUCAUAAUUUCCUAUACAUGUUUUUCACAAUGAGCAAACAAUUUUGUUGCUUUCUUUCACUGUUUUCAUGGUAAGGAAAUAUAAAUGUCUUGGUAUGUCAGUUUCUCAUGCAGCCGAAAUCCAUACAUUUUUGUCACUAGUGGUGGCUAUCUGAACAGAUUUCCAGAAAUUAUUUGCUGACAGAGUUCUGACAGGUGAAAAAGUGAAGCUCUGUCAAUCAAAUAUGACAUUUCAUGCAAUUACUUUUUUAAAUGAUAUCUCUCCAUAAAAAGCAUUUCCCAAUUUCUAUUUAUGCUAUGACUCCACUGUUUGUGAAAGGCAUUCUCUGAUCUUGGCUAAUUUUUGCUAGGGUGAUUGGCAAAGAGGCCAGGAUGUGCCUCCAGUGUUUGCUGGGUCGCUGACCUCCAUGUGACUGAUAAGCAUUGGCAAGUUAGCAUGCUACCAGCAGACAGUUAGCUUGGCAGAAAUGUGAACAGGAAGUGGGUAAAUAAUGAAGCAUGUUUUGAUCUUUCUAGACUCCCUUCACCUUGGAAGACAAGCACUGACUUGGUAGCAGUGUUUUGGCUUUUAAGGGUGUAUUCUUCUCCUCUGCCCCAACCCAGUCCUCAGGGUGAGUAGUGUUUCUCAGACUGGCUCAUGGAGUCUGCCAAAUGCACUGCAAGUUUCUACAAUUUUCUGAGGCCAGAAACAUGCUUCAAGAUGUUUGUAAACCAAAGUUGUAUAUUUUAUUACCCUGCAAAUGGUGUUGCAUUUUAAAUAGGUUUACAACUGCUACAUCUCUCUCUGCAUGAGGUAGCCUACUAUACUAAUUCUGUUUUAUACUUUACUGAGAAUUUCUAAAGAAAUAAAUAUAGGAUAUAUGACUUGAUGAGCCUCUGA